rnacentral:rRNA from 1 species
GACGAACGCUGGCGGCGUGCUUAACACGUGCAAGUCGAACGAAGAGCGAUGGAAGCUUGCUUCUAUCACUCUUAGUGGCGAACGGGUGAGUAACGCGUAAUCAACCUGCCCUUCAGAGGGGGACAACAGUUGGAAACGACUGCUAAUACCGCAUACGAUCUAAUCUCGGCAUCGAGGAUAGAUGAAAGGUGGCCUCUACAUGUAAGCUAUCACUGAAGGAGGGGAUUGCGUCUGAUUAGCUAGUUGGAGGGGUAAUGGCCCACCAAGGCGAUGAUCAGUAGCCGGUCUGAGAGGAUGAACGGCCACAUUGGGACUGAGACACGGCCCAGACUCCUACGGGAGGCAGCAGUGGGGAAUCUUCCGCAAUGGACGAAAGUCUGACGGAGCAACGCCGCGUGAGUGAUGACGGCCUUCGGGUUGUAAAGCUCUGUUAAUCGGGACGAAAGGCCUUCUUGCGAAUAGUGAGAAGGAUUGACGGUACCGGAAUAGAAAGCCACGGCUAACUACGUG